rnacentral:rRNA from 1 species
UACGAAGGGUGCAAGCGUUACUCGGAAUUACUGGGCGUAAAGCGUGCGCAGGCGGUUUUGUAAGCCAGAUGUGAAAUCCCCGGGCUCAACCUGGGAAUGGCAUUUGGGACUGCAAGGCUGGAGUUUGGCAGAGGAGACUGGAAUUCCUGGUGUAGCAGUGAAAUGCGUAGAUAUCAGGAGGAAUACCGAUGGCGAAGGCAGGUCUCUGGGCUAUAACUGACGCUCAUGCACGAAAGCGUGGGGAGCAAACAGG